AUGCAACUCUCCAGUCCAGUCCAGGUGAGAUGUCACCGUCCACCACUAGGGGGCUCGGCAGGGAGGGGGCGGCGGGGCUGGCUGGGAGAGGUGGGACGGAUGAGUGGUGCGGCUAGGCGAGGCGGGAACGAUCGGGGCCGGUCAGAUCCGGUCGUCGCCAUCGUCGGUCUGGUCGGGAGGAGGCCGGCAGUCGCGUGGGACGGUCCGGCGGAGCCCUGCAGUGCGGGAAUGGAGAGAGAAAGAGAGAUUAGUGAGGAGAGGGAGAGAGAAGGGAGGAGGAGGAUGCCGGCAGUCGCGUGGGACGGUCCGGCGGAGCCCUGCAGUGCGGGAAUGGAGAGAGAAAGAGAGAUUAGUGAGGAGAGGGAGAGAGAAGGGAGGAGGAGGAUGCUGGGUGCGGCUGACCGGCAGAGGACGGCGGCGGCGGCUUGCAGGUGCGUGGGCGGCGACCGGAGGCGGGGUCGGCUCGGGGCGAUCGGGAGGAGCGGCGGCGCUUGCUACGAUCCGUUUUUCUUUUCUUUUUGA
rnacentral:rRNA from 1 species